rnacentral:rRNA from 1 species
UACGGAGGGUCCAAGCGUUAUCCGGAUUUAUUGGGUUUAAAGGGUCCGUAGGCGGGAAAAUAAGUCAGUGGUGAAAGCCUGCAGCUCAACUGCAGAACUGCCAUUGAAACUGUUUUUCUUGAGUAUAGAUGAAGUGGGCGGAAUAUAUCAUGUAGCGGUGAAAUGCAUAGAUAUGAUAUAGAACACCGAUUGCGAAGGCAGCUCACUAAACUAUUACUGACGCUGAGGGACGAAAGCGUGGGGAGCGAACAGG